rnacentral:ncRNA from 2 species
UGAAUAAAGAAGAUAACAGGUGCCGAGGGCAUUGUUCAUGAGGUUAAAAGGGAAACAGGUGAGAAACCUGUACGAUCUCGUCACUGUAAGCACGGAGUACGGUUCUGUAUGCAUUAAGCAUGAUCACUGGGAAACUGGGAAGAUAGAACCAUAUGUUGAGCGGCAAGUCAGGAAACCUGCCUGUUGUCUGGUACGGGA